GUUGUGUGCCCCGCCUUCCAGCACUGGAUGUCCCCAGCCCCAUGCUGCAGAAUGGGAGUUUUCCUGGUUACCUUCAUGUUGAAAUAGACUUCACACUAUCCAGGUGAUGAAAAUAAUCUCCAGGGACUAAGUCAUUCUUUGAAGAUGAACUGAAUCUGUGUACCAUGGAAUAUAAAAUUGUGGGGGAAUGUGUAACCUACUGGCCUUAGAUGUGAAACCAUAAAAUUAUGAGCUACUGAAACCAGGAAAACAUACCUAAAAAAAAGAAAGAAAACAUCCUUGGACUUGAAGAAAGAUGUAUAAACACAAAAGGAGAAAUGCGUGGUGACAAGGGCAAUAAUACAAUUUGCAAGACUGGCUUGAUGGUCCUUUGAAGCCACACACGCCUCCCUCAAGGACCAGAGAGUUCUUUAUUCCGGUAAUUCUCUACACCUUGGCAGACGAGAAAAAAAACAAACACAGCCAUACUGACAACAUGAUCUUCCGGAAAAUGUCUUCUCCAUCCUGAAAGGGUCCUGU
rnacentral:lncRNA from 1 species